AGUGAACGCUGGCGGUAGGCCUAACACAUGCAAGUCGAACGGCAGCACAGUAAGAGCUUGCUCUUACGGGUGGCGAGUGGCGGACGGGUGAGGAAUACAUCGGAAUCUACUUUUUCGUGGGGGAUAACGUAGGGAAACUUACGCUAAUACCGCAUACGACCUACGGGUGAAAGCAGGGGAUCUUCGGACCUUGCGCGAUUGAAUGAGCCGAUGUCGGAUGAGCUAGUUGGCGGGGUAAAGGCCCACCAAGGCGACGAUCCGUAGCUGGUCUGAGAGGAUGAUCAGCCACACUGGAACUGAGACACGGUCCAGACUCCUACGGGAGGCAGCAGUGGGGAAUAUUGGACAAUGGGCGCAAGCCUGAUCCAGCCAUACCGCGUGGGUGAAGAAGGCCUUCGGGUUGUAAAGCCCUUUUGUUGGGAAAGAAAAGCAGCAGGUUAAUACCCCGCUGUUCUGACGGUACCCAAAGAACAAGCACCGGCUAACUUCGUG
rnacentral:rRNA from 1 species